rnacentral:rRNA from 1 species
GAUGAACGCUGGCGGCGUGCCUAAUACAUGCAAGUCGAGCGAACAGAUGAGGAGCUUGCUCCUCUGACGUUAGCGGCGGACGGGUGAGUAACACGUGGAUAACCUACCUAUAAGACUGGGAUAACUUCGGGAAACCGGAGCUAAUACCGGAUAAUAUAUUGAACCGCAUGGUUCAAUAGUGAAAGACGGUUUUGCUGUCACUUAUAGAUUGAUCCGCGCCGCAUUAGCUAGUUGGUAAGGUAACGGCUUACCAAGGCAACGAUGCGUAGCCGACCUGAGAGGGUGAUCGGCCACCCUGGAACUGAGACAGGGUCCAGACUCCUACGGGAGGCAGCAGUAGGGAAUCUUCCGCAAUGGGCGAAAGCCUGACGGAGCAACGCCGCGUGAGUGAUGAAGGUCUUCGGAUCGUAAAACUCUGUUAUUAGGGAAGAACAAAUGUGUAAGUAACUAUGCACGUCUUGACGGUACCUAAUCAGAAAGCCACGGCUAACUACGUG